AUAGAAAACGAAAAAAAUUCAGAACGAAAACGAGGCUUACGCCAUAUUGUUCUAUGGUAAAAAAGGUGUUGACAUUUCUUAGAGGAAGUGCGACAAAUAUUCUUCUUCUACAGAGUUCCACAUUUAGCAGUUGAAUCCUGCAAGGUCCUUCCCCGGAAGAACCAGUUGAGGAAUACCAGACCAGUCUCAGAAAUCCCAGGUA